rnacentral:rRNA from 1 species
GGGAAUUUUGGGCAAUGGGCGCAAGCCUGACCCAGCGACGCCGCGUGGAGGAUGAAGGCCUUCGGGUUGUAAACUCCUGUCAGGUGGGAAGAAAUCUCUGCCGGUGAAUAUCCGGCAGCGUUGACGGUACCACCAAAGGAAGCCCCGGCUAACUCCGUGCCAGCAGCCGCGGUAAUACGGAGGGGGCAAGCGUUAUUCGGAUUUACUGGGCGUAAAGCGCACGUAGGCGGCAUUGCAAGUCGUAGGUGAAAGCCCUCGGCUCAACCGAGGAAUUGCCUUCGAAACUGCGCUGCUUGAGUCCGGGAGGGGGGAGCGGAAUUCCCAGUGUAGCGGUGAAAUGCGUAGAUACUGGGAGGAACACCGGUGGCGAAGGCGGCUCCCUGGACCGGUACUGACGCUGAGGUGCGAAAGCGUGGGUAGCAAACAGGAUUAGA